rnacentral:rRNA from 1 species
ACGCUGGCGGCAGGCCUAACACAUGCAAGUCGAGCGGCAGCACGGGUACUUGUACCUGGUGGCGAGCGGCGGACGGGUGAGUAAUGCCUAGGAAUCUGCCUGGUAGUGGGGGAUAACGUUCGGAAACGGACGCUAAUACCGCAUACGUCCUACGGGAGAAAGUGGGGGAUCUUCGGACCUCACGCUAUCAGAUGAGCCUAGGUCGGAUUAGCUAGUUGGUGAGGUAAUGGCUCACCAAGGCGACGAUCCGUAACUGGUCUGAGAGGAUGAUCAGUCACACUGGAACUGAGACACGGUCCAGACUCCUACGGGAGGCAGCAGUGGGGAAUAUUGGACAAUGGGCGAAAGCCUGAUCCAGCCAUGCCGCGUGUGUGAAGAAGGUCUUCGGAUUGUAAAGCACUUUAAGUUGGGAGGAAGGGCAGUAAAUUAAUACUUUGCUGUUUUGACGUUACCGACAGAAUAAGCACCGGCUAACUCUGUGCCAGCAGCCGCGGUAAUACAGAGGGUGCAAGCGUUAAUCGGAAUUACUGGGCGUAAAGCGCGCGUAGGUGGUUUGUUAAGUUGAAUGUGAAAUCCCCGGGCUCAACCUGGGAACUGCAUCCAAAACUGGCAAGCUAGAGUAUGGUAGAGGGUGGUGGAAUUUCCUGUGUAGCGGUGAAAUGCGUAGAUAUAGGAAGGAACACCAGUGGCGAAGGCGACCACCUGGACUGAUACUGACACUGAGGUGCGAAAGCGUGGGGAGCAAAC